rnacentral:lncRNA from 1 species
CGGACAGAUUAUGGGGGGUCAAAGGCUCUGCCACUGCUUGUCUACCGGGGGUGGAUGCCCAGAGUCUCUUCUCUCCACUGAGGUUUCUAGAGCAAACUUUCUCUCAGCUGAUUCUCUCACAGAAGUCUUAGAUAAGCUUUGCCUGUGAGUGAACCCAUAGAGAGUAGAGACCAUUGCUCCCAUUAUUGUUAAUUUACUUGAAUCCUGCUUAUUUCCGAUAAUUUGAGGCAGCCCAGAAUUUCCAGUCGUCCUCAGCUCGUGCUCUGAGCCGUGAAUCGUCAUAUGUGUGCGUAGGUGUCACUGAUAAGGCUAAUUCAGGAUCACUCUGCACUCACAAGAUGGGUUUUCUUUGAUUAGGGGUCUGAAGCUCUCUGAAGGCCUAUGUGAGUUUCCCUUCUGCUUCUAGAUUCUCUACAAGGAGGAUCAUCAUCUAAAAGCAGGUUCUUCACCUGGGCACGGGUGUCAGGGGCAUCUGUGGAGCCCUUGAAAUUGUGCCAGAAUUUGCUGCAUUAGGGCUUUUCUGGAGAGGACACAUUUUUCAUUAGAUCCUCAAAUGAUCCCAUUCCUCCAAAGGUUAAGAUCCACUGCUUACCGUCACGGUUUCUAGGCGGGGUUUAGGAAAAACUCAGAAGAACUUCCACCUUCAGUAUGGGUCUUCACUCCGCAAUUGUCGUCGUCCCGUGACCCUGGACCACCUGAGGGGCAUGAAAUUCUCUUCUCCUUCUGCUCCCAAUCAUUCACUUCUGCAAGUCCACACCUGAAGGAGUCAGCAGCCUGCAAACAGCUAAGUCUCAAUAGAGUCCAGGCUCACCUGCCACAAACAGAUGCAUGUCAUCGUCGUCCAUCUCCCGGACUGGUUCCCAUCUCAUCUGAUCCUGAGAAACAGGAAGUGAGGGGCCCCAAGAAGUGGAAACACCUGAUUUCCCAUCACUUUCCCGCUGAGUCACUGAGUCUUUCAUUGUCCUCUUUCUGCUAAGGUUUUAUUGUAGUGAUUUUUAUUGUUAUUGUUGCUUUGCUUUGUUUUGUGAGUGAAAUGGGCUUCCCGCAAAAUCUUAAGUGAGUUCUUGAGUGAUAUUUUUACAGUUGCUUGUUUUAAAACCAGUGUAAUUACUUGAUUAUAAAUAUUUCUUGAAAAAAGUUGGAAGGAAGACUCCAGGCAGAGAGAGCCACAGAGUUAUUUAAGGGUUGCAGACGUCCUUUCAAAGCAGUUACGCUCAGUUAUGAACGAUGUGCGCCCUGGAAGAUAAUGCUAGUUCCUCCAGAAAAGCAAGCCUUCCACUUUUAGGUAAGCUGAGAAUUCAUUCCUGCCCUCUGGUAACUUAAAAAACCCACACAAAGCACUAUUCUCUUUAUUCAUUGUCAGGAAAAUUCUUUAAAGCUCCCAGGGCUAAAUUAUAAAUGUUCCCUUCCAACCAAGAUGAUUACACAAAGGAAGCUGGGAUGGCUGGCCCUGUGGGGCUGGGGAUGCGGGCAUCACAAGCCAGGACCUUACCUGGCCUGAGAGCUACACAACAACUCCUUUUUUUUCCUUUUUAACCCCAGCCUAGGAGGCUCAUUUCUGUGCCCAUGCAAAUUAGACAUUCCUCAGUGCUUGCUCCCUAAUUACUCACCCACGUCACUCACUCUGCCAUGCAGGAGUAGGACAGGAAUUCACCAAAUAAAAACUUGCACGAGGUUGUCUGUCCCAAUGCCCAAGACGCCUGACAAAACGGGAAGUAACCUCCAGAGGCACAGGUGUGUCAGGGUGUGGACUUAUAAGUUAUCCUCUGUUGAACUAAACGUGUAAUUAGAAAUUCCUUAUCAGAUAUGCCUACUUCAGAUGGUGCAACCAGAAAGAAUGAUAAAUAUUUGUAUUAAAAUGAUAAUAAAUCUAUUAUGAUUUUCACCUCCUUUUUCAUAAUUGUCCUCCAUCUACAAAAUACAUCUCUAGGCAAAUUAAACUUCUCAAGAGAGUAUGAAAAAAAGGUAGGCUUUUCUUGAUUUUAGAAGCCAAGCCACAACUUGAACAGCUAAUAGUAAAAGCUCCCGUCGUAUUGAACG